rnacentral:SRP_RNA from 1 species
GCCGGGUGUGGUGGGCGUGCCUGUAAUCCAAGUUACUUGGAGGCUGAGACUGGUGGAUCGUUUGAGCUCAGGAUCUCUGAGCUGCAGUGGACUAUGUCGAUCGGGUGUCCCAAUAAGUUCGGUAUAUCGAUAUGGUGCUCCUGGGGGAGGCCGGGACCACCAGGUCGUCUAAGGAGGGGUGCACCGGCCCAGGUCGGAAACGGAGCAGGCCAAAGCCCCCGUGCCGCUCAGUAGUGGGAUCGCGCCUGUGAAUAGAGGCUGUAGUGAAGCCUGAGUAAUACAGCGGUACCCAGUCUUUU